rnacentral:rRNA from 1 species
AGGGAUUCUGAGUGCUUACAGUUAAGCUGUAGGCUUUUCAUCAGGGCAAAUACCUGGUGGAAUAAGUGGUGGGCAAGACUGGUGCCAGCCGCCGCGGUAACCCCAGCGCCACAAGUGGGAACCACGCUUAUUGGGUCUAAAGCAUCCGUAGCCUGUCCGGCAAAUGCCCUGUGAAAUCGUUGCGCUCAACGUAACGACGUGCAGGGUAGACUACCAGACUAGGGACCAGGAGAGGUAGACGGUAUUUCUGAGGGAGCGGUAAAAUGUUAUAAUCUCAGAAGGACCACCGAUGGCGAAGGCAGUCUACUAGAAUGGAUCCGACGGUGAGGGAUGAAAGCUAGGGGAGCGAUCCGGAUUAGAUACCCGAGUAGUCCUAGCCGUAAACGCUGCAUGCCAGAUGUUACACAAUCUUCGAGAUUGUGUAGUGUCGAAACGAAGGUGUUAAGCAUGCCACCUGGGAAGUACGGUCGCAAGUCUGAAACUUAAAGGAAUUGGCGGGGGAGCACCACAAGGGGUGCGGCGUGCGGUUUAAUCGAAUUCAACGCCGAAAAUCUCACCAGAGGCGACGGCAGUAUGAAGCUCAGUCUGAAGGGCUUAGCCGACGAGCCGAGAGGUGAUGCAUGGCCGCCGUCAGCUCGUGCCGUGAGGUGUCCUGUUAAGUCAGGCAACGAGCGAGACCUGUGUGCACUGUUGCUAACGCGCCCGUAAGGGUGAGCGAGCACACCGUGCAGACUGCCUUCGAAAGAAGGAGGAAGGUGCAGGCUACGGCAGGUCUGUACGUCCCGAAUCUUCUGGGCUACACGCGCGCAACAAUGGUCGUGACAAUGGGCUGCAACACCGUAAGGUGAAGCCAAUCCUCGAAACACGUCCUUAGUAUGAAUUGAGGGCUGCAACUCGCCCUCAUGACAUCGGAAUCCCUAGUAAUCAGAGUUUAGCAUACUCCGGUGAAUAUGUCCCUG